rnacentral:tRNA from 1 species
AUUUAAAUAGCUUAUUUUUAGAGCAUAAUAUUGAAGAUAUUAAGGAAGUAUAAAUACUUUUAAAUA